UUUCCACUUAAUGAUGUGUUUUUGGCUUACCAGGAUCAUGUGGGACCAGCUCCGAUGAAGCUUUUCCAUUUUUCUUAGGCAUGCAACUCCGAUGAAGCUGCUGGCCAUGUCGUCCUCCGCCGGCCUAUUUCCAUGGCCACGACAAAAUUGAGGAUCGGUUCAGCCUCACCGCCUACUGUGGGGAGGACAACAUUGUAGUUUUAGACUGCUGCUCUACAAGUACCUACUGCCCUACUUCAUUUUCAGGGUGCCCUUAUUUCUAAGCCUGUAUGAUUCGGCUAGCAGAUGUUAGUACCAAUUUAUAAUACAUCUCUAAUUUAUAUUUUCUAUAUCUAAUUUCACAUGCAGCCUGGUCACUUUGCAUGUGAUGGUUUGAAAUAUUAUAUGCAUAUACCAUAUCAUGUUCCCUUUGACUUGAUAUUAUUUGAAAACUUCAUGUGUGGCACAUAACUUUUGUUUUUAGUUUACAGGUCACUGUAUCUUUUUCACCACUGUGUUGGAAGGAGGUUACAUUGCAAAAAUGCAAUGUGUUCCUGGUUCUUGCCUGCGGUGGGCUAUUUGGUUGCAACCGUGGCUUGGAGGCUACUAUCUAGGCAGGUUGACCCCACCUCAAGUGUUCCUAGAUCAACAAGCAAACAGAUACUAAGUGAUCCGGAGAAGCGUGCAAUUUAUGAUCAAUAUGGUGAGGAGGGCUUAAAGGGGAUGCCUCCACUACAGUUCCCAGAGCUGGUCCUCCACAACUGCUGGCCUAACUACAGUAAAUGAUGAUGAGUCAUAAGAGACUUUUUUUGACUUCAGUACAUUCUUUGGUAGGGGAGAAAUUUGCAUGAGGAGUUAUGAACUGCAUGCGGAUUGAGAAA